CGAGGAAUAAGCCCCGGCCAAUUACGUGCCAGCAGCCGCGGUAACACGUAAGGGGCGAGCGUUGUGCGGAAUUAUUGGGCGUAAAGGGCGUGUAGGUGGUUAGAUAAGCCUGGUGUUAGAAUCUCUGGCUCAACCAGAGUCGUGCGCUGGGAACUGUGAGACUAGAGUCCAGGAGGGGAAGCUGGAAUUCCUGGUGUCGGGGUGACAUCUGUAGAUAUCAGGAAGAACACCGGUGGCGAAGGCGAGCCUUCUAGCCAUGGACUGACGCUUAGGCGCGAAAGCGUGGGGAGCGAACAGGAUUAGAUACCCUGGUAUUCCACGCUGUAAUCGAUGUGCACUGGGCGUAGGAUUCUUAUAGGAUUCUGUGCCGUAGCAUAACGCGUUAAGUGCACCGCCUGGGGAGUAUGCUCGCAAGGGUGAAACUCAAAGGAAUCGACGGGGGCCCGCACAACCGGUGGAGCAUGUGGUUUAAUUCGAUGAUACGCGAGGAACCUUACCAGGGUUUGACAUGCACCUGGAGCUCGCAGAGAUGUGGCAGCUCUCGUUUAGAGGCGGGUACACAGGUGAUGCAUGGCAGUCGUCAGCUCGUGUCGUGAGAUGUUGGGUUAAGUCCCGCAACGAGCGCAACACCAGCUGUCUGUUGCUAACAGGUAAUGCUGAGGACUCAGGCAGGAACUGCCGCUGACAAACCGGAGGAAGGUGGGGACGACGUCAAAGUCAUCAUGGCCCUUAUGUCCUGGGCUACACACGUGCUACCAUGGUCAGGUACAGAAUGUUGCGAGACGCCGACGUUGAGCUAAUCACCCAAAGCCGUCCUUAAGUUCGGAUUGGAGUCUGCAACUCGACUCCAUGAAGUUGGAAUCGCUAGUAAUCGCGCAUCAGCAUGGCGCGGUGAAUAUGUUCCCGGGCCUUGUACACACCGCCCGUCACACC
rnacentral:rRNA from 1 species